rnacentral:misc_RNA from 1 species
GAUGAAGAAACGUAGCGAAAUGCGAUAAGUAGUGUGAAUUGCAGAAUUCAGUGAAUCAUCGAAUCUUUGAACGCACAUUGCGCCCCUUGGUAUUCCAUGGGGCAUGCCUGUUCGAGCGUCAUUUGUACCUUCAAGCUCUGCUUGGUGUUGGGUGUUUGUCUCGCCUCUGCGUGUAGACUCGCCUUAAAACAAUUGGCAGCCGGCGUAUUGAUUUCGGAGCGCAGUACAUCUCGCGCUUUGCACUCAUAACGACGACGUCCAAAAGUACAUUUUUACACUCUUGACCUCGGAUCAGGUAGGGAUACCCGCUGAACUUAAGCAUAUCAAUAAGCGGAGGA